rnacentral:rRNA from 1 species
AAACGGCAGCUUAGCUUGCUAAGCUGGACGUCGACCGGCGCACGGGUGAGUAACGCGUAUCCAACCUGCCCCACGGUGAGGGAUAACCCGCGGAAACGCGGCCUAAUACCUCAUGGUCUCCGAGUUUGCCAUCAACCUUGGAGUAAAGAUUCAUUGCCGUGGGAUGGGGAUGCGUCUGAUUAGCUUGUUGGCGGGGCAACGGCCCACCAAGGCAACGAUCAGUAGGGGUUCUGAGAGGAAAGCCCCCCACAUUGGAACUGAGACACGGUCCGAACUCCUACGGGAGGCAGCAGUGAGGAAUAUUGGUCAAUGGGCGAGAGCCUGAACCAGCCAAGUAGCGUGCAGGAAGACGGCCCUAUGGGUUGUAAACUGCUUUUAUGCGGGGAUAAAGCGGGCGACGUGUCGCCCUUUGCAGGUACCGCAUGAAUAAGGACCGGCUAAUUCCGUGCCAGCAGCCGCGGUAAUACGGAAGGUCCGGGCGUUAUCCGGAUUUAUUGGGUUUAAAGGGAGCGCAGGCCGGGUAUUAAGCGUGUUGUGAAAUGUAGGCGCCCAACGUCUGCACCGCAGCGCGAACUGGUGCCCUUGAGUACGCACGACGUUGGCGGAAUUCGCCGUGUAGCGGUGAAAUGCUUAGAUAUGGCGAAGAACUCCGAUUGCGAAGGCAGCUGACGGGAGCGCUACUGACGCUCAUGCUCGAAAGCGCGGGUAUCGAACAGGAUUAGAUACCCUGGUAGUCCGCGCGGUAAACGAUGGAUGCCCGCUAUUUGCGCAUUAGCGCAAGUGGCCAAGUGAAAACGUUAAGCAUCCCACCUGGGGAGUACGCCGGCAACGGUGCAACUAAAGGGAAUUGACGG